CUAUGAAUCUCUCAAUCUGUUCUUCACUGCCUCAUCUAUGGUUAUCCAAAAAAUCAUGGUUGUUAUGUCUGGUGCUACCUGCACCUCCAGUGAAUCCAUGGAUACCUCCAGCAGGUUUUUCUUUGGUCAUGACAGAUGCUAAUUUAUUGCCCUGUUGCCAUCAGUCACACAUUUUUGACCACAGCAUGAUGCAUAACUGCAUGAGCUAUUCCUCACAUAGAGGGCUAGUCCCACUAUAGCUGCAGUAGAUAUCAUCUUCAUUGACCCUGGCAAUGAUUUCAAGCAGCUCAGUCACUGGCACAAAGGCAUGCAGGCUCCCAAAACCAAUUAUGCUCACACUCUUUGAUUGUAAUGAUGACAUACAUAAUAGCUUUCAAACCAAGGGCUUAUCUCACAUCAUGUUUCCAUUGUGGUUGGCAAUUUAGUAGUUGUAAAAAGGGAGAAGUAAAAUAAAUGGCAAAAUGAAACAAACAAAUAUAUUAUUUUCCUCUUCUAGAAAGAGGCAAAUACAUAUAUUCUUUCAAUCUCUUAGUAAUAGUCUGUAAUGGUUAAUUUUUAUAUGCCAACUUGAUUGGGCUAAGAGAUAUCCAAAUUGCUUAUAAAACUAUUUCUGAAUGCAUCUGUGAAGGCGUUUUCAUAAGAAAUUACCAUUUAAAUAAGUAUACUGUGUACAGCGUGUUAUUGAGUAUGCUCUCAAUAAUAUGGAUGGGCAUCAUCCAAUUCACUGAGGGCACAGAUAGAAUGAAAAAGGCAGAGGGGGGAUGAAUUAGCCCUCUCUGCCUGAGCUGGCCAGUCUGCUUCUCCUGCCCUUGGCCACUGGAGCUUCUGGUUCUUGGGUCUUUGGACUGGGAUUUAGGCCAUUGGCACCCCUGGUCCUCAGGGCUUUACGUUUGGAUUGGAAUUGUACCACAAGCUUUCCUGGGCCUCCAGCUUGCAUACAUCAGAUUGUGGGAUUUUUCAGCCUAUAUAAUCAAAUAUUCUAAUUCUUCAUAAUGAAUCUCUUUCUAUAUAUCUAUAUGUAUGUACGUAUCUUUCUAGCUAUCUAAUCUAACCUAUUGAAGACACAUUCAAAUAAGGUCUUUCAGUUUCUGAACUAAUUAUCUUCGAUAAAGGCAAGGUAUUGAAACAAAAUAAAACAACAAAAGAAUUCUCUUAUUAGAAUUAGAAAUACUUUCUAUUGUUUUUUCAAGACAUUGUGUUUGUUCUAGCACGGGACCAAACAUACUUUGAAUUUGACGUCUGUAUGAAAAGACCUGACAAAGAUAUAAAGAAGACAAAACAACCACAAAAAGACAUAUUUCAGUGAUAUAACAUUUUUUAUUAAAGUUUUACCAAAGUAAUGAAUUUCCCACAAUCUCAAAAGACACUGAAAGCUUCCAGGAAUGACUUCUAGAAGCUUACCUCACACAAGCACGCCAAAGGAGUGUCCUGUACUACAAGAUCAUUAUGUUACCUGUGGAAAAUGGAAG
rnacentral:lncRNA from 1 species